rnacentral:sRNA from 1 species
UACGAGUCACAAUAAUACUUGAGUUUUCAUUCACACCACAAUCAAAGUGGCAUAUAAAUACACAGUUAUUCGUCCAAAUUCAAUAUGCACGGCUUAGUUCUUUUUGGCGUAGUUUGGCUGAUAUAUUAUGGCAUAUAUAAAUACAUUAUGACACAGAAUAUCAUGGUACCCAGAAGCAACGCUGCGGCUCAAGGUUUACAAAGAAACGUUUUUGAUGUCUAAAGCGAUUGUUGGUGACACCUUGGCAAGGCCUUUGGAAUUGUAUGGACUUCUUAUAGACUGAAAAUGUAGGCGAUUUUGUAAAUGCAUCAGAUUAUUGAAGUACUACUUGGACUUUUGCCUACUGUUGUGGUUGUGAUUUUACUCUUGGAACAGGAACAGAUUCCUGAUGUUCAUAGACUUGGUCCAAUGGAUGGAUGGAUUCGAAUGGAUUAAAUGGGUAAAUGGACAAUGGAACUCACUCGGAAGCCUGCACAUGUUCGAGUCUCCGAAUGAUAUCUAUGUAACAGAUAAAUGAUCCUAAUUUCCCGAAUUGCAUACAGAAAAUUGUAUACUAGAAGGAAUACAAAAAUACCACAGAAACACAAGCCCCCUAGGAGAUGGGGCAAGCAUCGGAGUCGUCCUCCAAAGAAAGUCUCAAGAAGGUGUUCCAGAUUGUUCCAGACUGCUUACACCCUCAAUAUUCAUGGCAAUUAUAUAUUUAUAGAUGCAUAGAUCCAUUUCUUAAGUGGCAGAGUUCUCGUUGAUACCCAAAAUGUCCCAUAUUCAUUCGAUUCCAGCCUUAUCCAACGGAAGCCACUUGCUUAACUCAAUCUGAGCUCAUUCUGGGUUCGGUCAUCGCACAGCAUACUAUCCCAUCCCAUCCCAUUCCAUAACCCAUCCUAUCGCCACUCAUCUUUGGCAGGGGAUUUCAUAGAGGCUUGCGAAAUUCCACAUGUGACAAUUCAGCAUUCAAUAGAUGGAUGGCUGGAAUGACUGGGAUGGUUGGGAUGGCAUGGAGCUGGAGCUGGAGCUGGAGCUGGCUAAAAGCCUGUCAAUCGGCGAGAGGAAGCGCUGGGGACAAAUGCCCUAAGUAGAGACCCAAAUCUCUGGAAAGCAAUUAGCAAGGCAAAACCCAAAAGAAAGAUCACCGCAAGACCGCUGUUCGGGGCACCAAUUGCAAUUGCCCAGACGACGGACAGCAUAGCGACACAGAACCCAGAGGAAGACGGACAGAAGCGGGAUUUAUCAGAGACAGAGACUGAGUCUGAGUCUGAGUCUGAGUCCGAGAUGGAGCUGGAGCUGGGGUUUGAGUUGGAGAUGAAGAUGCAGAGACGCAGACGGAGAAAAGCAAUUCUGCGGCUGACGGUUUUCGCAGAAAAUUACAACUUGCGGGUAAACAAAGUCAACUGCCGGCAAUGGCCCAGACAUGGGGCAAGGGGCCGGGGCCGGGGCCGAAGCUAGGUCUGAGUGGAAUCCAGCAGAAAACGGUGGGGCGGUGGCGGUGGCGGUGGCUGUUCGGGCUGGAGGUUGAGAGCUCUAGAAGAAUUGGCGUUGAAGCCACACGCCAAAGUAAGCCCACAAGCCGUCUUUUGCUGCUGUUGCUGCUGAUGCUUCAACUCCCACUCCGCCUCCCAUGGCUGGUGCCGCCGGGCUCCAUGUGGAGUGGAUGUGGGUGCGCAAUUAUGCCGCCAGAGCAACCAAGUAACCAUAAAUUUUCUUAUCAGCGCCCAGCAAAAGUCCAGGAGCGGAUCUCAUCAGCAGAGGCCGAUCUCAAGGGCCCCAAAGUAGAAUCUCAUCAGUCGGUUGGCUGCUAAGAGAAGAGAGAGAAAGGGAGCGCAAGGCCAGACUCGGCAGCCAUGCUGUGAUACUGAAUUCCUAAAUAUAUAUAUGAUUUCUAAGUAUAUAGGAAAUCCUUGAAUUCUUCAGUAUCAUCAAUGAAAUAUCACUACUCUUAAAGAAUGUAAAGCUAGAUUAAGUUGCCACGAAAGGUAUCAGUAAACUUUUUUACAAUAAAA